rnacentral:rRNA from 1 species
CNUACCAUGNAAGUCGAACGGUAGCAGGAAGUGCUUGCACUUCGCUGACGAGUGGCGGACGGGUGAGUAAUGCUUGGGAACUUGCCUUUGCGAGGGGGAUAACAGUUGGAAACGACUGCUAAUACCGCAUAAUGUCUACGGACCAAACGGGGCUUAGGCUUCGGCGCAGAGAGAGGCCCAAGUGAGAUUAGCUAGUUGGUGGGGUAAAGGCUCACCAAGGCGACGAUCUCUAGCUGUUCUGAGAGGAAGAUCAGCCACACUGGGACUGAGACACGGCCCAGACUCCUACGGGAGGCAGCAGUGGGGAAUAUUGCACAAUGGGGGAAACCCUGAUGCAGCCAUGCCGCGUGUGUGAAGAAGGCCUUCGGGUUGUAAAGCACUUUCAGUUGUGAGGAAAAGUGAGUAGUUAAUACCUGCUCACCGUGACGUUAACAACAGAAGAAGCACCGGCUAACUCCGUGCCAGCAGCCGCGGUAAUACGGAGGGUGCGAGCGUUAAUCGGAAUUACUGGGCGUAAAGCGCACGCAGGCGGUUUGUUAAGCUAGAUGUGAAAGCCCCGAGCUCAACUUGGGAUGGUCAUUUAGAACUGGCAGACUAGAGUCUUGGAGAGGGGAGUGGAAUUCCAGGUGUAGCGGUGAAAUGCGUAGAUAUCUGGAGGAACAUCAGUGGCGAAGGCGACUCCCUGGCCAAAGACUGACGCUCAUGUGCGAAAGUGUGGGUAGCGAACAGGAUUAGAUACCCUGGUAGUCCACACCGUAAACGCUGUCUACUAGCUGUUUGUGGCUUUAAGCCGUGAGUAGCGAAGCUAACGCGAUAAGUAGACCGCCUGNNNAGUACGGCCGCAAGGUUAAAACUCAAAUGAAUUGACGGGGGCCCGCACAAGCGGUGGAGCAUGUGGUUUAAUCGAUGCACGCGANNNCCUUACUACACUGACAUGCNNNNACNUUCNNNGNUAGAUGGUNCCUCGNANNUCUGACACAGNNCUGCAUGGCUGU